CUGGCUCAGAGCGAACGCUGGCGGCGUGCUUAACACAUGCAAGUCGAACGUGAAAGGGGGCAACCCUGAGUAAAGUGGCGUACGGGUGAGUAACGCGUAGGUGAUCUACCUAUUAGUUUGGAAUAACCUGCCGAAAGGCGGGCUAAUACUGAAUGGAGCAAUGGCCUUGUAAAGGGGCAGUUGGGAAAGGCGGCACGUAAGUGCUGUCGCUAGUAGAUGAGCCUGCGUCCCAUUAGCUAGUUGGUGAGGUAAGAGCUCACCAAGGCGAUGAUGGGUAGCUGGUCUGAGAGGAUGAUCAGCCACACUGGAACUGAAACACGGUCCAGACUCCUACGGGAGGCAGCAGUGGGGAAUCUUGCGCAAUGGACGAAAGUCUGACGCAGCCACGCCGCGUGAGUGAAGAAGGCCUUCGGGUUGUAAAGCUCUGUCGCCCGGGACGAAAAAUCUGUGAGUGAACAGCUCACGGACUUGACGGUACCGGGAGAGGAAGCACCGGCUAACUCCGUGCCAGCAGCCGCGGUAAUACGGAGGGUGCAAGCGUUGCUCGGAAUUAUUGGGCGUAAAGGGCAGGUAGGUGGUCUUAUUUGUCUGGGGUGAAAUCCUUGAGCUUAACUUAAGAAGUGCCUCAGAAACGGUAAGACUAGAGUGCUGGAGAGGGUCGUGGAAUUCCCGGUGUAGCGGUGAAAUGCGUAGAGAUCGGGAGGAACACCAGAGGCGAAGGCGGCGACCUGGACAGUGACUGACACUCAACUACGAAAGCGUGGGUAGCAAACAGGAUUAGAUACCCUGGUAGUCCACGCUGUAAACGAU
rnacentral:rRNA from 1 species